rnacentral:rRNA from 1 species
AGUGAACGCUGGCGGUAGGCCUAACACAUGCAAGUCGAACGAGUGGCGGACGGGUGAGGAAUACAUCGGAAUCUACUCUGUCGUGGGGGAUAACGUAGGGAAACUUACGCUCAUACCGCAUACGAUUGAAUGAGCCGCUGUGGGAUUAGCUAGUUGGCGGGGUAAAGGCCCACCAAGGCGACGAUCCGUAGCGGGUCUGAGAGGAUGAUGAGCCACAGUGUAACUGAGACACGGUGCAGACUCCUACGUGAGGCAGCAGUGGGGGAUAUUGGACCACGGGCGCCAGACUGAUCCAGCCAUACCGCGUGGGGGAAGAAGGCCUUCGGGUUGUAGAGCCCUUUUGUUGGGAAAGCGGUACCCAAAGAAUAAGCACCGGCUAACUUCGUGCCAGCCGCCGCGGCAAUAC